rnacentral:tRNA from 1 species
CUUAAGCGGAGGUUAGAUCCCUUCAAUUUCUG